AUGAACGCUGGCGGCGUGCCUAAUACAUGCAAGUCGAGCGAACAGAUGAGGAGCUUGCUCCUCUGACGUUAGCGGCGGACUGGUGAGUAACACGUGGAUAACCUACCUAUAAGACUGGGAUAACUUCGGGAAACCGGAGCUAAUACCGGAUAAUAUAUUGAACCGCAUGGUUCAAUAGUGAAAGACGGUUUUGCUGUCACUUAUAGAUGGAUCCGCGCCGCAUUAGCUAGUUGGUAAGGUAACGGCUU
rnacentral:rRNA from 1 species